AGGGUAUGGUGGAGGAUAAGGUGGAUGGUAUGGUGGAGGGUAAGGUAGAGGAUAAGGUGGAGGGGUAUGGUGGAGGGUAAGGUAGAAGAGAAGGUGGAGGGUAAGGUAGAGGAUAAGGUGGAGGAUAAGGCGGAGGGGUAUGGUGGAGGGUAAGGUAGAGGAUAAGGUGGAGGAUAAGGCGGAGGGGUAUGGUGGAUGGCAAGGUGCAGGAUAAGGUGGAGGGUAUGGUGGAGGGUAAGGUGGAGGGUAAGGUGGAGGGUAAGGUGGAGGGUAAGGUGGAGGAUAUGGUGGAGGGUAUGGUGGAGGGUAUGGUAGAGGAUAAGGUGGAGGGUAAGGUAGAGGGUAUGGUGGAGGAUAAGGUGGAGGAUAUGGUGGAGGGUAUGGUGGAGGGUAAGGUGGAGGAUAAGGUGGAGGGUAAGGUGGAGGAUAAGGUGGAGGGUAUGGUGGAGGAUAAGGUGGAGGAUAAGGUGGAGGAUAAGGUGGAGGGUAUGGUGGAGGAUAAGGUGGAGGGUAUGGUGGAGGAUAUGGUGGAGGGUAUGGUAGAGGAUAAGGUGGAGGGUAUGGUGGAGGAUAUGGUGGAGGGUAUGGUAGAGGAUAAGGUGGAGGGUAUGGUGGAGGGUAAGGACAUUUAAUGUAAAAUGUUGGGUUGGAAAUACAAUCAUGGCUCUGAUGUGUACAGUACGGUAGAGGCAGACAACACUGUGCUUUCCUUUGUACACAGAAACUCUUCCUGUUUCUUUGUCUCUUGGUCUUUCCAUGUCUCUCUCUGCCUUUUCCAUAUCCUCCUCUCUCCUCUUCUCUCUCUUACCAUACC
ensembl:lncRNA